rnacentral:misc_RNA from 1 species
UAUGCACAUAAUUUCCAAGAAAUUUAUCAGCUAUACAAUAAGAUAUUCACAAUAUUAUCUCAAUAUGCAAAAAAAAAAAUGUUAAUAUGCACAUAAACAUAGUUCCAUUUUCAAAGUACUUCCAUUUGUCAAAGUAUAAAGACAUAUACAUCCUAUUCUCCCCCUUUUUGUCAUCAAUAAAAAAGGAAACAGGAGAAAAUACCCAAAAAGAAUCAUGUUAGCCAAAAUGGAAAUGCAGUAAGGUAGACAGUAGCAAACUAAAAACCAAAAGUAGCACACAGACUAGUAAACUAAAAAUGCAAUCAGUAAGCUAAAAAUCCAGAUGAGAUGCUAU